rnacentral:rRNA from 1 species
AGAGACUGCAAGCGUUAUUCGGAUUCACUGGGCGUAAAGGGUGCGCAGGCGGCCGGGUGUGUCAGAUGUGAAAUCCCGAGGCUCAACCUCGGAACUGCGUCUGAAACUACUCGGCUAGAGUACUGGAGAGGGUAACGGAAUUCACGGUGUAGCAGUGAAAUGCGUAGAUAUCGUGAGGAACACCAGAGGCGAAGGCGGUUACCUGGACAGUUACUGACGCUCAGGCACGAAAGCAUGGGGAGCAAAAGGGAUUAGAUACCCCUGUAGUCCAUGCCCUAAACGGUGCACACUAGGUCUUGGCGGAUUCGACCCCACCAGGGCCCAAGCUAACGCGUUAAGUGUGCCGCCUGAGGACUACGGUCGCAAGACUA